rnacentral:rRNA from 1 species
AUGUUUUUUUCAGAGUCAGAGAUGUUUCUCCAACAAAGGUUCUGUUGCAGAGGAGGUUUGCAACAACGAUUUUGUAGCAAUGAGGAGAUUGUGUUUCAUAAUACUAAUAAUGUAAAAGAACGUCUUUUUGUUGCAAUAAGUCCCAUGUUGCAGAGACUGAGUGUAACAAUUGAGUUGUUGGAAAUCACUGGUUUCAACGGGGUUCACAUGGGGAGAUACAAUGGUCGUUCUAGCUUUCAUCCAACAGCCGGGAGGUGGUAUAUCUUUUCAGACCUUUUGAAACAUUGUUGUUGUUUUUCGUUUAUCCCAAAAAACAGUUUCUGA